GCGUCUAUAGUCCAACGAUUAGGAUAAUUGCCUUCCAAGCAACAGACCCGGGUUGGACCCCAGGCAGACGCA
rfam:Nicotiana attenuata strain TT scaffold03209, whole genome shotgun sequence.